rfam:Echinostoma caproni strain Egypt genome assembly, scaffold: ECPE_contig0012934
GUACUGCUGACGAGUCCCAAACAGAGCGAAACAGCUGUUCAGUGC